GCAACUUGUAUUCCCAUGAGGCCAUAGGCCGAUAUAUAUAUACAUGUAUAGGUGUGGAACAUAUGCAGGAAACCCCUUAUACAACGGGAUAAAUACAAAGGGGUACAUGACUUAUAUUAUAACUCUAACAGUAUCCAAAGUAUGUCUUGAUUGAUGCGCAACCUGCAUCAAGAGUCAGUUUCCAACCGAUGACUCUUACCAUCGUGCAUGAUUACCCCAGUUAUUGAGAAUAAACAUUCAUACUAAAGCAUUGAGUGUCUAAUGACUAUACCUUAUUCGUCCCCAGGAAUAGCUUUCCACUACCUUUUGUUCGGGAUAGCGCUCUACGCCCC
rnacentral:lncRNA from 1 species